UGGGGAAUAUUGCACAAUGGGCGCAAGCCUGAUGCAGCCAUGCCGCGUGUGUUAAGAAGGCCUUCGGGUUGUAAAGCACUUUCAGCGGGGAGGAAGGCGAUAAGGUUAAUAACCUUGUCGAUUGACGUUACCCGCAGAAGAAGCACCGUCUAACUCCGUGCCAGCAGCCGCGGUAAUACGGAGGGUGCAAGCGUUAAUCGGAAUUACUGGGCGUAAAGCGCACGCAGGCGGUCUGUCAAGUCGGAUGUGAAAUCCCCGGGCUUAACCUGGGAACUGCAUUCGAAACUGGCAGGCUAGAGUCUUGUAGAGGGGGGUAGAAUUCCAGGUGUAGCGGUGAAAUGCGUAGAGAUAUGGAGGAAUACCGGUGGCGAAGGCGGCCCCCUGGACAAAGACUGACGCUCAGGUGCGAAAGCGUGGGGAGCAAACAGG
rnacentral:rRNA from 1 species